rnacentral:rRNA from 1 species
UACGGGGGGGGCAAGCGUUGUUCGGAAUUACUGGGCGUAAAGGGCUCGUAGGCGGCCAACUAAGUCAUACGUGAAAUCCCUCGGCUUAACCGGGGAACUGCGUCUGAUACUGGAUGGCUUGAGUUCGGGAGAGGGAUGCGGAAUUCCAGGUGUAGCGGUGAAAUGCGUAGAUAUCUGGAGGAACACCGGUGGCGAAGGCGGCAUCCUGGACCGAUACUGACGCUGAGGAGCGAAAGUCAGGGGAGCAAACGGG